GCACAGGUAGCUUAACAGUAAAGCCCUCUGUUCAAUGAUUUAGUUCCAGAAAAUGAAUGAAUGCAGAGAUUGAGGGUUCAACUCCCUCCCUGAGCA
rfam:Moniliophthora roreri MCA 2997 sctg_0643_0001, whole genome shotgun sequence.